rnacentral:rRNA from 1 species
AGCAGCCGCGGUAAUUCCAGCUCCAAUAGCGUAUAUUAAAGUUGUUGCAGUUAAAAAGCUCGUAGUUGAAUUUCGGGGUUCUACCGUUGGUCGGGCUAACCAGUCUGUACUAGCGUGUAGAAUUCCUACCUUCUGGGGAACCAUCAUGUUAUUAAUUUAGCGUGGUGGGAAACCAGGACCUUUACCUUGAAAAAAUUAGAGUGUUCAAAGCAGGCUUACGUCUGAAUACAUUAGCAUGGAAUAAUAGAAUAGGACGGUGGUCCUGUUUUGCUGGUUUCUGAAUCACCGUAAUGAUUAAUAGGGAUAGUUGGGGGCAUUAGUAUUCAAUUGUCAGAGGUGAAAUUCUUGGAUUUAUUGAAGACUAACUUCUGCGAAAGCAUUUGCCAAGGAUGUUUUCAUUAAUCAAGAACGAAAGUUAGGGGAUCGAAGACGAUCAGAUACCGUCGUAGUCUUAACCAUAAACUAUGCCGACUAGGGAUCGGACGAUGUUAAAUUUAUUGACUCGUUCGGCGCCUUACGG